rnacentral:rRNA from 1 species
AUUGAACGCUGGCGGCAGGCCUAACACAUGCAAGUCGAGCGGAUGAAGGGAGCUUGCUCCUGGAUUCAGCGGCGGACGGGUGAGUAAUGCCUAGGAAUCUGCCUGGUAGUGGGGGAUAACGUCCGGAAACGGGCGCUAAUACCGCAUACGUCCUGAGGGAGAAAGUGGGGGAUCUUCGGACCUCACGCUAUCAGAUGAGCCUAGGUCGGAUUAGCUAGUUGGUUGGGUAAGGGCCUACCAAGGCGACGAUCCGUAACUGGUCUGAGAGGAUGAUCAGUCACACUGGAACUGAGACACGGUCCAGACUCCUAAGGGAGGCAGCAGUGGGGAAUAUUAGACAAUGGGCGAAAGCCUGAUCCAGCCAUGCCGCGUGUGUGAAGAAGGUCUUCGGAUUGUAAAGCACUUUAAGUUGGGAGGAAGGGCAGUAAGUUAAUACCUUGCUGUUUUGACGUUACCAACAGAAUAAGCACCGGCUAACUUCGUG